rnacentral:tRNA from 1 species
GUGGCUGUAGCUCAGUGGUAGAGCACCUGGUUGUGGUCCAGGAUGUCGCGGGUUCAAUCCCCGUCAGCCACC